GACGUAGGGCGCGAGCGUUGUCCGGAUUUAUUGGGCGUAAAGGGUGCGUAGGCGGCGCGGUAAGUCGGGUGUGAAAUCUCGGAGCUUAACUCCGAAACUGCAUUCGAUACUGCCGUGCUUGAGGACUGGAGAGGAGACUGGAAUUUACGGUGUAGCGGUGAAAUGCGUAGAUAUCGUAAGGAAGACCAGUGGCGAAGGCGGGUCUCUGGACAGUUCCUGACGCUGAGGCACGAAGGUCAGGGGAGCAAACGGG
rnacentral:rRNA from 1 species